rnacentral:tRNA from 1 species
UAGCUCGGUUGGUAGAGCGUGUGCCUUGUAAGCGCUAGCUCGCGGGCUCGAUUCCCGC